ACUACGGGGGGCAGCAGUGAGGAAUAUUGGUCAAUGGGCGGAAGCCUGAACCAGCCAAGUAGCGUGCAGGAUGACGGCCCUACGGGUUGUAAACUGCUUUUAUACGGGAAUAACGCGCCUUACGUGUAGGGCUUUGCAUGUACCGUAUGAAUAAGGACCGGCUAAUUCCGUGCCAGCAGCCGCGGUAAUACGGAAGGUCCGGGCGUUAUCCGGAUUUAUUGGGUUUAAAGGGAGCGUAGGCCGCAUGUCAAGCGUGCUGUGAAAUGUCCGGGCUCAACCCGGGCCUUGCAGCGCGAACUGGCGUGCUUGAGUCCGCGGAAAGCAGGCGGAAUUCGUCGUGUAGCGGUGAAAUGCUUAGAUAUGACGAGGAACCCCGAUUGCGAAGGCAGCUUGCUGCAGCGGAACUGACGCUGAUGCUCGAAAGCGCGGGUAUCGAACAGGAUUAGAUACCCUAGUAGUC
rnacentral:rRNA from 1 species